UUUGGAUUUUGAAAGGGACAACCAAGAUGAAAAAAAUGUUGUUGUAAUUGUUCAAUUCGGAAAAUACAGGUUCUGGGGAGGGUUUCUUUAUGUUUCAAAUCUCUACACUGUCACUCGCGUGUUGAUCAACGCUGAAAUUGAUGACAUUUUAACUUUUAAGAAGAGGUUCCUUUCAAACAUUACCCCUGAAACGUCUUCCACCUUUUCUGGGUUGAGUGCAUCCAGAAUAAAGGAUCCUACUGAAGAGUAUCUUUCAGAUUUUGAGUUCAGUACUAUUGGAUCUUUAAAUCAAAUCUCGGAGAAAAAGUUUGUAAUUAUUGUCGGAACUAUAAAGAGUUUUGCUUCCGAGGAUUCUUGGUUUUAUAAUGCUUGCAGAAAUUGUAAUCGAGCGGUC